AUGCAUUCUGUUAAUUAUGUAAAUGCCAAGGCUUUUGUAAGGUUCCAUUCUGUAUUAGGCAAUCUGCAAGUGCCUGCGUGCAUCAGACAAGACAGAGUUCUAUCUGCAUCACUGGAGAUGGAAGAAUCAAAUCCAAAGUUUACAGCCAGACCUGCUAUUAAGAAAUGUCAGAGCAUUUCAUAUAUUCACAGCCAACAUCCAGCAGGCAGUGAAAGAAAAGAGCAUCAGGGAAUCAUGCAGUAAAGCUCAGAUACCUCUCCCUUCCCCUCCUUGGCCUUAACAAACGUCUCCAAGAACCUCUACCAUUCACAGAGCAGAGAGAGAAGCGAGGGGAUGUGGCCUCUGCACAGACAAGAGAGGCAGCACAGGCAAACAGCAAGGCAAAGGUAGGCACACUUAAAUCCCUGCAGGUAAUGACUUAAGCAAGAAGCAACAUCGGUGUGAACACCUUGUAACUUUAUCAAUAUACAUAUGGUCUUCUCAUAUGCAGUGUAAAUACAAGACCUUUAGGUUUGCUUUCAAUCCAACUGGUUCUUGGCUGAAGCUAAAAACAGAGAGAGCUUUCAGCAGCAGCAACUACUCCUUCAAUUCAGACUGGGUCACACCAAUUGUGUAAUCCAUCAUACAUUUUGAAGUAGUUCAACGCAUAUCUUAAUUAGCAGCUGGAAAUCUAGAUAUGGCUUGUUUACCCUGAUCCGUACAGAUAAUUAGGAUGAGGAAUUUGUCAUUUUAAAACAUUUACUCUGUUGUUAACAGAAAUAAUGAAGCUUAGCUGCAUAGAAAAGAAACCUAAUGGGGUCUUCCCUUUAGUUAUUGUUAUAUCUGCAUGAUUGGCCAGACGUAUUACUGAGUAACAGCUGAAACAUGGAGAUGCCUGGAGACAAACUGAGCUGAAUAUCUAUUGCAUUAACUACCAUAAAUGUAAACAGAAACUAUUUCCCACACUUAGAAACCACAAGAACACAUACAAGGAAAGGGAUAGAGAGAUAACUGAGACAAGC
rnacentral:lncRNA from 1 species